rnacentral:rRNA from 1 species
CCUACGGGGGGCAGCAGUGAGGAAUAUUGGUCAAUGGACGGAAGCCUGAACCAGCAAUGCCGCGUGCAGGAAGACGGCUCUAUGAGUUGUAAACUGCUUUUGUACAAGGGUAAACCUGAAUACGUGUAUUCAGCUGAAAGUACUGUACGAAUAAGGAUCGGCUAACUCCGUGCCAGCAGCCGCGGUAAUACGGAGGAUCCAAGCGUUAUCCGGAUUUAUUGGGUUUAAAGGGUGCGUAGGCGGAUUGAUAAGUUAGAGGUGAAAUGUCCGAGCUCAACUCGGGAACUGCCUCUAAUACUGUUGAUCUAGAGAGUAGAUGCGGUAGGCGGAAUGUAUGGUGUAGCGGUGAAAUGCUUAGAGAUCAUACAGAACACCGAUUGCGAAGGCAGCUUACCAAUCUAUAUCUGACGUUGAGGCACGAAAGCGUGGGGAGCAAACAGGAUUAGAUACCCCGGUAGUC